GCCUACCAAGGCGACGAUCAGUAGCCGGCCUGAGAGGGUGAACGGCCACACUGGGACUGAGACACGGCCCAGACUCCUACGGGAGGCAGCAGUGGGGAAUCUUCCGCAAUGGACGAAAGUCUGACGGAGCAACGCCGCGUGUAUGAUGAAGGUCUUCGGAUUGUAAAGUACUGUCUUUGGGGAAGAACGAUCUCUUUGAGAAUAUUGAGGGGAUAUGACGGUACCCAAGGAGGAAG
rnacentral:rRNA from 1 species